rnacentral:rRNA from 1 species
CCCCUUAACCAUCGUGCAAGUGAAGAGGGAAGAGACCCGAUUGAAAGCUGGCGUCUUCGGCGUCCGCAUUGUAAUCUCAAGAAGUGUUUUCCGCUUCGGACCAUGCCUAAGUCCCUUGGAAAAGGGCAUCAUAGAGGGUGAUAAUCCCGUACAUGGCAUGGAGCGCCCGAGGCUUUGUGAUACGCUUUCUAAGAGUCGAGUUGUUUGGGAAUGCAGCUCAAAAUGGGUGGUAAAUGCCAUCUAAGGCUAAAUAUUGGGGAGAGACCGAUAGCGAACAAGUACAGUGAUGGAAAGAUGAAAAGAACUUUGAAAAGAGAGUUAAACAGUACGUGAAAUUGCCAAAAGGGAAGGGUAGGAGGUCAGAGAUGCGUCUUGGGAUUCAGCCUUGCUUUUGCUUGGUGUUUUUCCCAAGUUGCAGGCCAACGUCGGUUUUGGGCACUGGAGAAGGGUGGAAGGAACGUGGCACCUCUCGGGGUGUGUUAUAGCCUUCUACUGGAUACAGCGACCGAGACCGAGGACAGCAGCGUACUCGCAAGAGCGGGCCUUCGGGCACCUUUACGCUUAGGGCGUUGGCAUAAUGGCCCUCUACCACCCGUCUUGAACCACGGACCAA